GCAAUGUAGUUAUGCAGGAGCUGCUAGAAUUAUGUAAACAAACGAGCAUAAUGCCAAGAACUAUGCCGUUUCCUCUGAAACUAACCGACUAACUUAAGUAAUGGUGGAUGCAGUAUCAUUGUAGCAACCCGACAGCUUCUCGGGAGACUGUAAAAAGAAGCAUACAUGAGGCUUUCCAGCUGAGUCUGGAAACUCUUGAGAAAAAGGCGAGGCAGCUCAGAGCCACAGAGAAAAGGGCCAAUUUUCUGCAGACACAAUUUGAAGAUGUGUCUAAAAAGUUGAUGGUUGCAAAUUUGAAAAUUGACAUUUUGGAAGGUUGUUCCACUUUUUACACUGAAG